UACGAAGGGGGCUAGCGUUGCUCGGAAUCACUGGGCGUAAAGCGCACGUAGGCGGCUUUCUAAGUCAGGGGUGAAAUCCCGGAGCUCAACUCCGGAACUGCCUUUGAUACUGGAGAGCUUGAGUUCGGGAGAGGUGAGUGGAACUGCGAGUGUAGAGGUGAAAUUCGUAGAUAUUCGCAAGAACACCAGUGGCGAAGGCGGCUCACUGGCCCGAUACUGACGCUGAGGUGCGAAAGCUAGGUAGCAAACGAG
rnacentral:rRNA from 1 species